UACGGAGGAUCCGAGCGUUAUCCGGAUUUAUUGGGUUUAAAAGGGUGCGUAGGCGGCUUUUUAAGUCAGCGGUGAAAUUUUGCAGCUCAACUGUAAAAGUGCCUUCGAAACUGGUUUCCUUGAGUGUAGAUGAAGUAGGCGGAAUUUGUGGUGUAGCGGUGAAAUGCAUAGAUAUCACGAGGAACUCCGAUUGCGCAGGCAGCUUACUAAACUACUACUGACGCUCAGGCACGAAGGCGUGGGGAUCAAACAGGAUUAGAUACCCUGGUAGU
rnacentral:rRNA from 1 species